rnacentral:rRNA from 1 species
UACGUAGGGUGCAGGCGUUACUCGGAAUUACUGGGCGUAAAGCGUGCGCAGGCGGUUUCUUAAGUCAGAUGUGAAAGCCCCGGGCUUAACCUGGGAACUGCGUUUGAAACUGGGAGACUUGAGUGUGGCAGAGGGGGGUGGAAUUCCACGUGUAGCAGUGAAAUGCGUAGAUAUGUGGAGGAAUACCGAUGGCGAAGGCAGCCCCCUGGAAUAACACUGACGCUCAUGCACGAAAGCAUGGGGAGCAAACAGG